CGUCAUUGUAAGCAUAUUCGAUUAGUUGUCAGUGACAGUGUCGGCUCCAAGAAAGUAGAAACCAUUAGAUAUCCAUCUAAUCGUAGAUCCACCGGAACCGUAGUGUCAAUGUCGACUCCCGCAACCGCCGGAAGAGGAUCGAUCACUCACGUGAUCUUCGACAUGGACGGUCUUCUUCUCGACACGGAGAAGUUUUACACGGAGGUACAGGAGAUCAUACUUGCUCGAUUCAACAAAACUUUUGAUUGGUCUCUCAAGGCCAAGAUGAUGGGAAGAAAAGCUAUUGAAGCUGCCAGGAUCUUUGUUGACGAAAGCGGGAUCAGCGACUCUCUAUCAGCUGAGGACUUUCUUGUCGAGAGAGAGGCCAUGCUGCAAGAACUCUUCCCUACUAGUGAGCUUAUGCCAGGGGCUAGCCGGCUCAUCAAGCAUCUCCAUGCAAAGAACAUUCCUAUUUGUAUUGCUACGGGAACUCACACACGUCACUUUGAUCUAAAAACCCAAAGACACAAAGAGCUCUUCUCACUGAUGCAUCACAUAGUUCGCGGAGAUGAUCCUGAGGUCAAGCAAGGAAAGCCUGCCCCUGACGGCUUUCUCGCUGCAUCUAGGAGAUUUAAGGAUGGUCCUGUUGACCCACAAAAGGUUCUGGUAUUUGAAGAUGCUCCUUCCGGAGUUCUUGCUGCUAAAAACGCCAGAAUGAACGUGGUGAUGGUACCGGAUCCUAGACUAGAUAUAUCUCACCAAGACCUUGCAGAUCAAAUCAUGACUUCGCUACUCGAUUUCAAACCAGAGGAAUGGGGUUUGCCUCCAUUCGAGGAUUCAAACUAAAGCUUCUUCAAGCUAGGGAUUGGUCCGUCCGGAAGGAGUUUAAGGAGCUGAUCCUUGUGUACGUGGCAACGUUUGAGUGGGACGGGUUCGGUUUGGGCUUGGGUUGGUUUAGAAAAAUUAGGUCAUUCUCGACCGAGACCGAAAAAAAAGAGAGCUCUCGAUGAUUAGGCGAUAGCACGGCGAUUUCUCUCGAUCGGCUUCACGAAGGUUAACGAAAAUGGGACAAGAUUACAGCUACAGCCAGCCUUCUUCAUCAUCAAACUCUCUAGACAUGACCUCCCUUCUUGAAGCAGAAGCUCAGCUGUACACGGAUGCAGAGCCGGAUUAGUUCGCACCUCAACCAGAGGCUGAUGAUGGAAUCCCGAGGACAUGCUACUGU